CGAUUGACUGCGUGGACUUCGUGGAGCGUGGGGUGGUGAAAAAAAAAAAAUAAUUCAUGAGAGGUGGGAAUUGGAAUCACGGUGAAAAAUUCAGUCAUGUCAGAUGUCUGGGAUGGUAAAGUUCCAGUUGUGCGCGUGUAGCCGCUACCUUCGCCCAUUGCAAGCAGAUUUUUACUUAAAUUUAUAGAAAUUAAUCCAACUCUGAAGCGAUACCGUUUCCAAAAACGUCAAAUGGGCGGGCCUUGUGUAUGACAUUCACUGAAUACCACAAAAAUUUCUAGACACAAACGUGUCAUCGAAUAACUUGAAUCCCCGGUUGUAGUUCGACCCCGUUCUCGGGUGUGAUUUUAUAACACGGUACAGUUCUAUUAUGAUCUAGAGCUUUAGAUAUUUGGAGAUUACAAUCAUCGAAUGAGGUGGUUUUUAUCAGCCUGGAUUUAUUUCAUCUUGAUGAGAUCGUUAUAAACAGUUUUAAAUGUCAUAAUAUACACGGUUAUCGGUGCAACCUAAAAACCCGGAUACCUUGAGACCCAAUUAAUGAAACGAAAUUUGUGUAGAUGUUUAUACCAAAAAGUAUAUAAACUCAUCACCACGUCGUUGGCUGGCACAACCGAUAAUCUAAACAACUAAAAUUAUUCCAAACGGUUUAUUUUCUACCCACGUCAACGUGGUGUGACACCCAGCUGCAGUUUGGCUACCGGACAGGUGACGGUCAUUAUUUUCACCUGAUCAUUCUGUAAAAUGUCAAGAAAGCGAGCCAGGGAAGAGAUGAUAAUGAGCGGUAAAACGUCGCACACUUCCAAUGACCAUGACGAUAACAAUGCAACAUGUUCUAGGGAGAACUCGCCAGCUCAUCCGUCGAUCUGCAAAGAGGCACCAUUUAGCGAUGAAAUAGAGGCUGGCAUUGAACGAGAUUCCUGCGACUACUCGAUAAGAGUAACUGUAAAAGAAGCAAAAUCUGGAAAAGCUCCGAGAAGGCUCAGGGUUUAUGCUGAUGGAAUUUAUGACCUGUUUCACCAAGGGCAUGCGCGACAGCUCAUGCAGGCUAAGAACAUCUUUCCAAAUGUCUAUCUCAUAGUUGGAGUAUGUAGCGAUGAACUAACGCACAGUAAAAAAGGUAGGACAGUUAUGACUGAUUCUGAAAGGUACGACGCAGUGAGGCAUUGUCGAUAUGUCGACGAAGUUGUCAGAGACGCUCCCUGGGCACUGGACGACGAUUUUCUUAUCAAACACAAGAUUGAUUUUGUUGCACACGACGACAUUCCUUACAUUACGGAUGACGGAUCUGACGUCUAUGCAUGGCUUAAAGAAAGAGGGAUGUUUGUUGCAACAGAAAGAACCGAAGGAGUUUCAACCUCGGAUAUUGUUGCACGUAUAGUAAAAGACUACGAUAUUUACGUGAGAAGGAAUCUAGCCCGGGGCUACAGUGCCAAGGAACUGAAUGUCUCAUUUCUCAGCGAAAAGAAGUUUCGACUGCAGAAUAAAAUUGACGAUCUAAAAGACAAAGGAAAACGAGUGAUGGAAAAUAUUGGAGAGAAAAGGGUCGACAUGAUAAGUAAAUGGGAAGAAAAAUCUCGCGACUUCAUCGAUGCUUUUCUUUUGUUAUUUGGAAGGGAGGGCCGCCUGUCCACAAUAUGGAACGAAAGUAAAGGUCGUUUGAUGCAGGCGCUAUCUCCACCUGCGAGUCCCAAAAGAGAUGGAAGCCCUAGCAGCAGCAAUAGCAGCAACAAUGACAACGAUGAUCAGACAAGGUACAUCAAUGCGUUUGAGAUUAUCGAUUAAUCUCCUACAUCUUCACUACUACUACUACUACUACUACUACUACUACUACUACUACAUCACUUCACACCACUAACACGCGUCUCUGCUUGUGCUCCCCCGCCAAAGAAGAGUGGCCGUUAUGAAUUCGCCUUACAGAAUAAUCACUACACAAGUGAUGAUUAUAGCGACGAUGAUGACGAGGAAAAGGCAGAGCGGUCUAAGUAGCUGUGCGAAAUUUUGCAAUCCAGCAGCGUAGCUAAUUAGUCUAUUUUCUUCUUUUAUACAAACAAAAUUUGUUACCAACAAUUUCGAACGGUGUUAAGGUUCAUCAAGAACCAAAUUUCUUUUGCAACUUCCGUUUAACUUUUUUUUUCUUUCGUUUUUCAACUUUCGUCAUUACGCAGAAAAUAAUACAAUAUCCGAUCAUUUGGUGUCAAUAUUCAAGCAUGUGUUUAAAAAAAUGGUAUGGAGGAAUUCUGGUACGAGCAGAGAAUAAUACAAACCAAAGCUUGAAAGUAAGGAUUUGAAUUAUGACCUAAAGCUAGCAGUGAUAAUUAUAAUUCGAAAUAAAAAUUGUUGCUAUUAUCUAUUUUAUUGAAUCAUGAUGGUUGAGGGUAUUUUUUUUCAUUGAUUCUCUCUCUGCUCUUUGUUGCUCAUAUAGUUUUAUUCAAUUUUGUUCAGUAGCGUGAUGAAACAAUUGCUUGAUCGAAUUUAAAAUUCUCUAAAAAACGACUUUAUAAAAUUAUAUGAUAAUAAUCUGUGCUGCGAGUAUUUUAUACAUGAGAAAAAGCGUUUUCUAUAAACAAAAAGAGAUGUGUAAUUAUUGCUAUUCUAUUAAUCUCCUAUCUAUUGUAAUCGUUAGGUAUUUAAUAUGGAUGAUAUGAAAACUAUUUAAAAAAAAACUUAGGUAUAGUUGAUACAGGAUUUUAAUAAAUCCAUCAACGUAUUAUUAAUUGAAAAAAAAACUACGCUAACUUAUGAAAUAUUGUAGGUAAUAACUAAAGAAAUUUAACAUUUAAUUUGUUGCUUAGUAAAUUCUGGUUUACCAGCUGUUGAAGAAGUCUAGGCGUUUCUGUACCUAUCUUUAGGUAUGAACGUUGAGUAAUAAUAAGUAUGACUUUAUUAUAAUAAUGAAUGAUGAUUGUUUCAUAAGACUGUGGAACAAAAGUGUGCUAUAUUUAAUUUUUUUUUUUUUUUGUUCUACGGGGUAAUAAAUAAAAACAUGUUGAUGUUUUAACAAUA